rnacentral:RNase_P_RNA from 1 species
GGAGUUGGCUGGAUAAUCGCUGCUGCUGUAUGCCGACAAGGCGCCAACAGUGGAGGAAAGUCCGGGCUCCGAUGGGCAAGGUGCCAGAUAACGUCUGGGCGGCGCGAGCCGACGGAAAGUGCCACAGAAAAUAUACCGCCUCUCACGAGGUAAGGGUGAAAUGGUGCGGUAAGAGCGCACCGCGCUGGCGGCAACGCCAGUGGCAGGGUAAACCCCACCUGGAGCAAGACCAAAUAGGAAUCCUCAUGAUGCGGCCCGCAUCGGAUUCGGGUAGGUUGCUAGAGGUGCAUGGCGACAUGCAUCCCAGAUGAAUGAUUAUCCAUGACAGAACCCGGCUUACAGGCCGACUCCCACU